ensembl:ncRNA F31F7.5 ncRNA
ACAAGUCGUUAGGAAAUGCAGGAGGAUGAAAAUGACAUGAGUGAGGAAGAUGUGCUUUUUUAGAAUGUUUUUUUGUAUUUUUAAAAUUAAAUUCGGAAAAGCUAAGAUUGUAGCGAAAAAUCCGGUAGUUUUUAGUUUUGUAAUCAAAAAUUAAAUUAUUUCUCGGGAAAAGCUUUGAAUUUUAAUGAUUUUAAGGUAAAACUAUUGUUUUUUCGGUUGUAA